GUACAUUGACUGUGCAAAGGUAGCAUAAUCAGUUGGCUUAUAAUUGAGGUCUGGUAUGAAUGAACCUACGGGGGCUUACUAUCUUUAUGAUAUUAAGAUAAAUUUAGUAAACAAGUGCAAAUACUUGGUGUUAUUAAAUAGACGAGAAGACCCUAGAAACUUUUAAGUAUAUUUUGCUGGGGCGGCAGAGUUGCAAUUAACCAACUUAUUUAACACGAAGCGGAGAGGUGAGAUUAAGUUACUCUAGGGAUAACAGCAUAAUUA
rnacentral:rRNA from 1 species